CCUACGGUGGACUGCAGUGAGGAAUAUUGGUCAAUGGGCGGGAGCCUGAACCAGCCAAGUCGCGUGAGGGAAGACGGUCCUAUGGAGUGUAAACCUCUUUAGGCGGGGAGCAAUGCCGGGCACGCGUGCCCGGAGGGAGAGUACCCGCAGAAUAAGCAUCGGCUAAAUCCGGGCCAGCAGCCGCGGUAAUACGGAGGAUGCGAGCGUUAUCCGGAUUUAAUGGGUUGAAAGGGUGCGUAGGCGGAUUUUUAAGUCAGCGGUAAAAUGUCCGGGCUCAACCCGGGCCGGCCGCUGAAACUGGGGAUCUUGAGUGGGCGAGAAGUAUGCGGAAUGCGUGGUGUAGCGGUGAAAUGCAUAGAUAUCACGCAGAACUCCGAUUGCGAAGGCAGCAUACCGGCGCCCGACUGACGCUGAGGCACGAAAGCGUGGGGAUCGAACAGGAUUAGAUACCCGUGUAGUC
rnacentral:rRNA from 1 species